rnacentral:rRNA from 1 species
AUUGAACGCUGGCGGCAGGCCUAACACAUGCAAGUCGAACGAGUGGCGGACGGGUGAGUAAUGUCUGGGAAACCGCCUGAUGGAGGGGGGUAACUACUGGAAACGGUAGCUAAUACCGCAUACCAUCAGAUGCGCCCAGAUGGGCUUUGCGUGUGGGUGGGGUAACGGCUCACAAAGGCGACGAUCCCUAGCUGGGCUGAGAGGAUGACCAGCCACACUGGAACUGAGACACGGUCCAGACUCCUACGGGAGGCAGGAGUGGGGAAUAUUGCACAAUGGGCGCAAGCCUGAUGCAGCCAUGCCGCGUGGAUGAAGAAGGCCUUCGGGUUGUAAAGCACUUUCAGCGGGGAGGCGGUACCCGAAGAAAAAGCACCGGCUAACUCCGUGCCAGCAGCCGCGGUAAUUC